UUCAGAUGGAAAUUGAGGUUGCUGAAGCUGGAAAGAGCAGCCCCAAGUCUUGCACUGGCUCUGUUACAAUUAACCUUGAAAAUGUCAAUGAUGAGCCACCAAUAUUCCUGCCAAUAUCACCAAACCCACUAAUUAUUGAUGAGAAUUUGCCCUGGAAAACAUUCUUAAUAAAGGUUAAUGCCACAGACAAGGAUGAAGAUGAUGUAAUUUAUUAUGAAUUUGUAAAGACUCAUGCUGGCUUCCUGAUUGAAGAAGACACUGGUGAGAUCAAAAUAGCUUCCUUGGUAGAUUAUGAUGAUAUCAAUACACUCACUACCUCAAUAUUGGAAAUAAGAGCUUAUGAUUCCGACAGAGUGCAUUCCUCCACCUCUACACUUACCAUCAAUAUUGCUGAUGUGAAUGAUAACCCUCCACAGUGUUCCCGGUACAUCUUCAUGUAAGUACCAGUUCAAAGACACGAUUAAAGUAAACCCAA